CCCUUAGAUGUUCUGGGCUGCACGCGCGCUACACUGAUGUGUUCAUCGGGUUCGACCUUGCCCGGGAGGGUUGGGUAAUCCUUUCAAAACACAUCGUGAUGGGGAUAGAUUAUUGCAAUUAUUAAUCUUCAACGAGGAAUUCCUAGUAAGCGCGAGUCAUCAGCUCGUGCUGAUUACGUCCCUGCCCUUUGUACACACCGCCCGUCGCACCUACCGAUUGAAUGGUCCGGUGAAAUCUCGGGACGGCGGCUUGGUCGCUUGCGUCCGACUGCUGAAACUUGAUUAAACCAUAUCAUUUAGAGGAAGGUGAAGUCGUAACA
rnacentral:rRNA from 1 species